AGAGUUUGAUCAUGGCUCAGAACGAACGCUGGCGGCAUGCCUAACACAUGCAAGUCGAACGAAGUCUUCGGACUUAGUGGCGCACGGGUGCGUAACGCGUGGGAAUCUGCCCUUGGGUACGGAAUAACUCAGAGAAAUUUGUGCUAAUACCGUAUAAUGUCGUAAGACCAAAGAUUUAUCGCCCAAGGAUGAGCCCGCGUAAGAUUAGCUAGUUGGUGGGGUAAAAGCCUACCAAGGCGACGAUCUUUAGCUGGUCUGAGAGGAUGAUCAGCCACACUGGGACUGAGACACGGCCCAGACUCCUACGGGAGGCAGCA
rnacentral:rRNA from 1 species